rnacentral:rRNA from 1 species
GUAAAGCCCUGUCGGGUGGAACGAACAGGUCCUGAGGAGGGACUCUGACGGUACCAUCGGAGGAAGCACCGGCUAACUUCGUGCCAGCAGCCCGCGGUAAUACGAAGGGUGCAAGCGUUGCUCGGAAUUAUUGGGCGUAAAGCGUACGCAGGCGGUCUACCAAGUCGGGCGUGAAAAGUCCCGGGGGCUCAACUCCGGGAAGUCGCACGAAACUAGCAGACUUGAGUUCGGGAGAGGGGUGUGGAAUUCCCAGUGUAGAAGUGAAAUUCGUAGAUAUUGGGAGGAACACCGGUGGCGAAGGCGACACCCUGGCCCGAAACUGACGCUCAUGUACGAAAGCGUGGGUAGCAAACAGGAUUAGAUACCCUGGUAGUCCACGCCGUAAACGAUGGGUGCCAGAUGUUGCGGGUAUUAUUCCUGCAGCGUCGUAGCUAACGCAUUAAGCACCCCGCCUGGGGAGUACGGCCGCAAGGUUAAAACUCAAAGGAAUUGACGGGGG